GCCUGGUCAGGAGCUGGCUCGAUCUUCCCUGACACGGAAGAGGUCACUGGUUCAAUCCCAGUAUCGCGCACCA
rnacentral:tRNA from 2 species